GUUGCCACCCACAAUGAAGCAUAAGUCCAUUCCUAGAGGGUGGGGUUUGCUGGUGGGGCUGUUCUCUCCCUUGUCUGGUUCAGCACCCCAGCAGAGCUGCCCAGCAUAUAGUAGAGGAGAUCGGUGGGGGGACUCUUGGGGAGUCAGAGGAUCUGCUAGGCGUUGGGAGGAGGAAGCAGUUUCUGGGACGUGCUGCCUAUUUCUACGUGAACGUGUUGGAAAACAAUGUAACCUUGGUGACUGCAAUUUGAAUCACGGUGAAAAUAUUUUCUACUUCCUUCAACACUGAAUUGGAUUCAGGAGGCAUAUCGAAGGCUGUCAGCGGUUCUCUGUGAAUUGAAGUGUUCAAACUAGCAUUCGUGUGAUGCAAACAAUAAUCACCUUUAUUGAGCACUUUCUGUCUGCUAGACAUUGUCCUGAGCACUUCGGAUGUAUUUCUUCACUAACCUUUACCAGAACUGUAUGAAACAGGAAUUAUUAUUAUGAUUACUAUCGUAACCAUUCCCCCUUUUUAGAGGAAAGAACCCGAAGCACGGAGGAGUAUAACUUCUUUCAUUACGAUUUCAACUUCCUGCCUUCUUGCUCCCGAAGUCAGUGCUCCGUCUGUACUAAUGCCAAUGUGCCUCUUUCAUUCACAAAGUGAUCUCUGGUAACACAAAAUAAUUUUUCUCUUGUGGCAGGGAAGUUUAGAGGUAAGGAGAACAAAAAUUCAUGGACUGUUUUGCCACCAUACAUCUCGUCUCUAUUCUAAAAGCGAUGUCACAGUCCGCGUGUCAGGAUUUUAGCCAACUCCGCAGAGACAUGAAUACUAUUGUGCAUUCAGGAUGGUGACUGCUCUUGUACCCCAUUUGCCAGUUAUGUGAUACCCAACAGUAGUAUUUGCUAAAGCUGCUUUCUCUGAGCAUUUAUGUCAUUAACUUCACAACUGGUUUGUCUGUCUUCUCUGUUGUGUGACUUGUACCUGUAUUUGCUCUGAGGAGUGAGGACAACUUGGAGUGAUGUGCUAUAUUUUAGGUGCCUUUUUCUGCCUUUGGCGCAAAAUUAAAAUUUUAUUCUGGGAAGUGCUAGUGUGUGCUUAUUUUGAAAAAAAAAUCAUUAGGCUCUAAGUUUUGAUGACUUUGAGCCAUGAUUUGACAUUUCACAGCUUGAUAAAGCUUUGGGGACAAGGGGUGAAUAGUCAAUAAAACCUAGUUUCCAGAUAA